UUGACUCUAGGAACUUAAGAUGAUCGGUGCUUUCGAAGGUGCCCCCCAUAGUGCUUCUGCUUAAUCUUUACUAUAAUCUGCUUUCUAAUCCAGUUUACAGGAAAGAAAUGUGCUGUGUCCCAAUGUGACUACUUAUACUACACCCUUAAAUUCUGAUGGACUCUAUGCACGCGUGGUCACAUGUGAUCACAUGUCGAUGUUUACACAAAGGCGGGGGUUAAAUAGAGGACGAGGCUAGUGACCAUGGAUGAAGAGAGUAUUGGCUGCUAAGGCGGUUGGAAACAACUGGAAACAACUGGACUUGGGAUGGACAGGAGUAUGCAGAGGGAAGUGACAAAAAUACAGUUGACAAAAAUGCUAAAUAAGGAAAUUGGUGAAAUAAAGAGUGCUAAAAUUCUUAGAAAUGGAUCAUUGUUGAUUAUUUGCAAGGAUGCAAAACAUCAAGGGAAAGUAAUGAGAAUGAACAAGAUAAAUGGAAAGAGAGUGGAAUGUUCUACGGCUUAUGGCAAGAAAUUCACAGGGGUUUUCACAGGAAUCCCAGAAAACAAAUCAGUAGAAGAUUGAAAAAAAAAAAAAAACAAAUGUAAGUGAAGUCAAACGUCUACAAGUAAAUAGGAAUGGAAGUGUAAGUGAUAGUACCUCGGUUGUGGUCACUUUUGAUGAGGAAGUUCUCCCUGGAAAGAUAUAUAUUGGAUACAUGUGUUAAAAUGUGAGGCUAUACAUACAUCCUCCUUAGAUGUUUCAAAUGUCAGACAUUUGGAAAUGUGGCAGCGGUGUGCAAAGGAAAGCAAUGAUGUGGUAAAUAUAGUGGAAACCACAAGCGUGACAAAUGUGAUGUGGGUGCAAACCUGAAAUUUUGUAAUUGUGGAGGGGAACAAAGCUCAGCGUAUUGUGGCUGUGAAGUUAAUAGAGCCAGGCUCAAGUACAAAGAAUCGAGGUGGUUCAGGGAAUCAGCUAUGAAGAGGCAGCAAAGAAGGUUUCAGGAAAUAUGAGAAUGACAAAACAAAGUGGAAAUAUGUACAAAGAAAUAGGAAAAUGUCAAGGAUAUGAUAAAUUGAAAGAAGAGUCUCUGAAAGUGAAAAAUAACGAUUUUGUACUGUUUAUAGCAGAAAUAAUAAAUUGUUCGGCACAGAUGAAAAGACGUAUGAAAGGAUCAAAAUAAUUGUCAAAUCAGCAGAGAAGUAUGUAGAUGUAAAGAGUUGCACUGGGAAACAGUUAGAGAUGCCCUCAAUGAAAAAACACAAUCCUCUCAGACAUGGGCUGGAUCUACAAUGGUGUUGAUCAUUAUACAUUGGAUUGCAAGGAGCCUAAUUGCGAACGGUCAAGAGUUUAAUAAGUUUAUUGAUGAUUUGGUAGAAAAACCUAAUGUAAUAUAUAUACAGGAGACAUGGAUAAAACCACAAUUAGAUUUUAUUAUAAAGGGAUAUAAUGUUGUUACAACAGACAGAGAACCUGGCAGAGUAGGGGGAGUAGCAACAUUUAUUCAAAGUGGUAUGAAAUAUCAAAUUAGGAAUCGUUUAGUAGUAAGAUAUGGACUGAAAGAGGUUGUAUGGAUAUUGUUAAUAAUCCAUGUGAAAAAUUGAAUCCAAGCAUUUUAGAAGAUGUAGUGGGACCACAACAAAUCAACAGAGCAUGGUGUGGGGAUUUUAAUUCACAUAAUUCAUUCUGGGGGAGUAAUGAUACUGAUGCAAAUGGCCUAAUUAUUGAAGAAUUUAUUGAUGUGAAAUAUUUAGUAUGUAUUAAUAAUAGAGAAGGAACAAGAUAUAAUAACAAUCAUUAUACAGAAGCAAUACUUGACCUGACAUUUAUAUCUAGUUCAAUAGCAGGGAUCAGCAAAUGAAGUGUGUCCAAAGAUAAUACUGCGGGGGGUGACCAUUACCCCAUAGUGACUAAAGUUGGCAUAAAAAUUUAUUUUGAAAUGGAAAUUCUAGAUGGAAACUAGAGAAUGCAAAUUGUUCAGUCAGCUGAGGAAACAAUACAUGAAAGCACAUGAGUUAAAUGUUCCAAGAGUGCACCCUGGUGGAAUAUCAAGUGCAAAGAAGCUAAAAAAGCAAGAAAUAAAGCAUUUAGGCAUCUCAGAAAACAUAAUUCUCAAGAGGCUUUGAUCCAAUAUAAAAGGGCCCAAGCAAUAGUAAGCAAUUAAAAUACAAAAACUUACAUUUUGGAGACAAUAUUGCAGAAGUAUUAGAAGAGAAGAACAACUAUCACAUGUAUUGGGCCUGAUCAGAAGAAUUGGGAGAGGGGUCAGAAGAAAUUAUGAAUUACAAGAGAUAAUCUCUCAGUUGAGGCCAGACAGAGUAGGAAUAAAGUCCUUCUAGCUACAGACCAAUUGCCUUGACUUCACAUUAAUGCAAAAUCAUGGAACUAAUUAUCACAGAAAGAAUUACAUACUUCCUGGAAAUUAAAACUCUUUUACCCCAUAUCAGAGUGGGAUUUGUAGGGGUCAGAAUACAAUGGAUUCUGUAUUGUGCCUAGAGUCAGACAUAAAGAAAAGCACAGACCAACAAAAUAGUAAUAGCAGUUCAUUAUUAUUCAAAAUUAUAUAAAUCUUUGUACGCAGAUGACGGGGCUUUGUGGAUUAGAGGCCCCAAUAUAUCAUAUAUCAAUAAGGGACUGCAAGCAGCAACUGAUGAAGUGGAAAAGUGGACCAGUAAAUGGGGAUUUAAAUUAUUUGUAGAAAGAAAGAAAAAAAUCACAGUUUAUUUGUUUUUCAAGACUGCACAAAAUCUCAUCUCUUUCUUUGAAUCUGUAUGUUCAACAACUUGAGCAAGUCAAAUCCUCAAGGUUUCUUAGGGUUUGGUUUGAUGAAAAAUUUACAUGGAAAGUUCAUCUGAAUACAAUAAAGGACAAAGAGAAAAAGUUCAUCAACAUACUUCGGUGUGUGUUCACGGUGUGUUCACUUCUCACUGCUGUCUGUGUGUUCUUGGAUGGGUUAAAUGCAGAGCACCAACUCUGAGUAUGGGUUACCAAGCUUACCAUACUUGGCAAACGUCACAACUUUCACUUUUUUUUUUUUUACUUUCACUAAAGCAAGAAAUAUAGGAUUACAUCAUUUUACAGUACAAUAAUACAGUAUCAGUUCCCUCUAUUCCUCCCUGGUUAUUCCCCUUGCCAACUGAUGACCUUGGUAUACAACAGGAACUGAAAGACAAUUAUAAUCAACUUCUGAUAUAGUAUAUAGUCCAGAAUUAUUUUGACCAAAAUUUCCCACAGUCAAUGGUUUUAUUUACAGAUGGAUCCAAAGAUCAACAGUAUACAUUCCAACGUGUGAAUUUUAUAUUAAGAAAAUAGUAACUAUUUGUCAGUAUAUGAUACAGAGCGAUUGGCAAUAUUAUUGGCUCUACAGUAGACAGAAGAGAAAGAAAUAAAUAACACUGUCAUUGCAUCUGAUAGCACUUCUGGCAGGUAAUCAGUUAGGAUGGAUAUUAUUAAUGAAAUAUUCUACAAGAUGCACGAAAUUAAAGUUCAGGGUAAGUCUACACAAUUAAUUUGGGUUCCUGCUCAUGUUGGAGUGGAGGGAAAUGAGAAGGUGGAUAUUCUGGCUAAACAAACUCUAAGAAUAAAGCAAAUAGAUCUACAUAUUCCAUUAAGUAUAAAGCAGAAGCUAAAUUACACAUUAGAACAUAUACACAAUCAGUAUGGCAGAUAUAUUGAGAUGAUCAUGAAACAGGUAGACAUUUUGUAAAAUACAAAAAAACAAUUGAUGUUGGGAGAAAGAAGAGUAGGAAUCAAAGAGAAGGAAAUAUCAUUACACGUUUUAGAAUUGGGCAUACUGGACCUAAUGACAAUUGUGAAUCAUGUAUGUGUGUGUGUAUAUAUAUAUAUAUAUAUAUAAUAUGGCCCUUUCCCCCCUCUCCCCCAUCAAAUAUAUAGCAUAAAUCUUGAGCCACAAGAUAGGUAAUGUACCUAUAAACCUAUAAGCUGGUUUGCCAACCGCCAAUAAAACACUAAAGGUUUUUAGAGUCUCUGGUGUGCACGGAUACACAGUCCAAAAAUCCACCUGAAAAAGUAGAUCAUCUGGGGACUUCUGGCAUACUAUUUUCAACAUACUAUGCUUUUGGAAACACUAAUUUUUAGCUCACAUAUUUUUAGGAUGGAUAGGAUGAACAUUAGGACACAGGGUUGGAUUCCUGGACAGGUUCAUUCAGGCAGCUGGCAUAUGAUUAACCUCUCCUCUACAUGGAGUAGAGCACACAGCCACUGCCAGCCAGAGAUUAAACCCAUAAAAUAGAACCCUAUGACUGAACCUGCACAAGUCAUGUGAUCUGUGAGUAGAACCCGCUGCCAGCCAGCGCAAGUUUGAACUAACGUUGUAGGUGGGAGGGAGUGAUGAACAGCACUCUCUUCCACCCUCAAUACCCAUGGCCAAAGUGAACCCCCAGUUGCUCCCCGAGGACUGAAUAUAGCUGUCCACUUCUCAUUGCUGUGUGUGUGCGCACUUGGAUGGGUUAAAUGCAGAGCACCAAUUCAGAGUAUGGCUAGUUGGCAAAUGUCAUGACUUUCACUGUGACAAUAUAGUGUGCCAAGCAACCAAAAGGCUUUCAUCACACACAAUUUAAGUAUAUGAAAACUCACAAUUUUCUAAAAAAAGUAGCUCAGGGUUGUAUCAUCACCACCAUCCACUAUUAAUACCUGCUGAACAUCCUGUAAUACCCUACUCAGAAACUCACCAUGCUUGAAGUGAAGGUGAUGCAAAGACGGUUUAGUGUGCUAAUUUACGACUAGCUUGAUGACUGCUAAGAGGUCACACACAAGCCGCCUUUUCCAACAUACUGGAUUACACUGGAGAAGAGCCAUUAGUCUUGCAGCUAUUAUAAACUUUCAGUUCCAUUCAUGCCUCUUAAAUGUUAACAGAUCACCUACAACCUAUGGAUAGAAAGCACAAGCUUGAAGACAUUUUUGCCUUCAAUUUCUUUCAUGGGAUUCCUCUACUGCAGGGUUAUUCAAAUCUUGUCCUGGAGGGCCAAUGCACUGCAGAGUUUAGCUCUAACCCUAAUCAAACACACAGGAGUAUGCUACUUAGUGUCUUCAGGAACAUUAGAAAAUCACAGGUGAGUGAGUUUGAUCAAGGUUGAAGCUAAACUCUGCAGCACAUUGGCCCUCUAGGACAAGAUUUUAAUAACCCUGCUCUUCUGGCUUUAAACUCAACUUGAUUCACAAACAUUUGAAUCUUCAGUCUGCAAGGACUCGAACAAGGAAGAUCUAAAUCAGCAAAAAUGCAGAUGCACAUGAAUUCAUACAAAUUUUGAGGAGAAUCAAGUAUACAGAAACAUGUAUGGGUCCAAAACAUAAGUCUUGUGGGACUGGAUUACAUUGAGGGGCACAAGUGUUCCCUCAGCUGUCCUUGGCUCAGACUCAAGCAUAACUCUGGAAGGCCAACAGGAUAUGAGGUUACAUCUUCUAAAUAAAAAAAUGCUGCCUGACACCAAGGGACAUGCUUAAAAAGGCAUGAUAGACAUCUAGCAUCUAAAUAAACAUGAAGACACUUCCAAGGUGACAACUCUCUGCUUUGCAGUUUUAUUUGAUCAGACUAUAACUGAUAAACUGACUGUUUCCAAUUGUCCUCUGGUCUUCUCGGCAUACUUUUUUUUUUCUGCUUAACACUGUAAAGCUGUCUUGACGCAGUCUGUAUUGUAUAAAUAGCUAUAUAAAGGUUCCUUGAUUUGUUUUAAUAACAUGGAAAAAAUGGGCCUACUACCCUGACUGCCUUAAGAAAAUCACAUUCAUUUCUGACAAUUUAAGCUGCAAAAAAAAAAAAAAAA